rnacentral:rRNA from 1 species
CACGUAGGGUGCGAGCGUUGUCCGGAAUUAUUGGGCGUAAAGAGCUCGUAGGCGGUGUGUCACGUCGGCCGUGAAAACCUACAGCUUAACUGUGGGCGUGCGGUCGAUACGGGCAGGCUAGAGUUCGGUAGGGGAGACUGGAAUUCCUGGUGUAGCGGUGAAAUGCGCAGAUAUCAGGAGGAACACCGGUGGCGAAGGCGGGUCUCUGGGCCGAUACUGACGCUGAGGAGCGAAAGCGUGGGGAGCGAACAGG